rnacentral:rRNA from 1 species
AGCAUAACAUUAAAGAUAUAUAAAGGGGAUCCGUGAGGUGACCCGCGAAGUUCAUUAAAGAGAUGUCAUUUAUAAACGUAGCGAGGUAAGAAAGUACAGAUUCAAAGUACAUGAAACCUGGGCUAUUAUUUUCGAGUCAAGUUCUGACAGACAAUACAAAAAAAAAGAAUACAGACUAUUAUUAACAAGUUAAGAAUGGUCAGAGAUUCAAACUAUAACAUUUUACAAUGGAGAGUUUGAUCCUGGCUCAGGAUGAACGCUAGCGGCAGGCCUAAUACAUGCAAGUCGAACGAUACUUUCCAGCUUGCUGGAAAGGAAAGUGGCGCACGGGUGCGUAACGCGUAUGCAACCUACCUCAAUCAGGGGGAUAGCCCGAAGAAAUUCGGAUUAACACCGCAUAAAAACACAGUACAGCAUUGUACAAUGUUCAAAUAUUUAUAGGAUUGAGAUGGGCAUGCGUGUCAUUAGCUAGUUGGCGGGGUAACGGCCCACCAAGGCGACGAUGACUAGGGGAUCUGAGAGGAUGACCCCCCACACUGGUACUGAGACACGGACCAGACUCCUACGGGAGGCAGCAGUAAGGAAUAUUGGUCAAUGGAGGCAACUCUGAACCAGCCAUGCCGCGUGCAGGAAGACAGCCCUCUGGGUCGUAAACUGCUUUUAUUCGGGAAUAAACCUACUUACGUGUAAGUAGCUGAAUGUACCGAAGGAAUAAGGAUCGGCUAACUCCGUGCCAGCAGCCGCGGUAAUACGGAGGAUCCAAGCGUUAUCCGGAUUUAUUGGGUUUAAAGGGUGCGUAGGCGGCUUAUUAAGUCAGGGGUGAAAGACGGUGGCUCAACCAUCGCAGUGCCCUUGAUACUGAUGAGCUUGAAUGAACUAGAGGUAGGCGGAAUGUGACAAGUAGCGGUGAAAUGCAUAGAUAUGUCACAGAACACCGAUUGCGAAGGCAGCUUACUAUGGUUUUAUUGACGCUGAGGCACGAAAGCGUGGGGAUCAAACAGGAUUAGAUACCCUGGUAGUCCACGCCCUAAACGAUGAAUACUCGCUGUUAGCGAUAUACAGUUAGCGGCUAAGCGAAAGCGUUAAGUAUUCCACCUGGGGAGUACGCCCGCAAGGGUGAAACUCAAAGGAAUUGACGGGGGCCCGCACAAGCGGAGGAGCAUGUGGUUUAAUUCGAUGAUACGCGAGGAACCUUACCCGGGCUUGAAAGUUAGUGAAUCAUUUAGAGAUAGAUGAGUGAGCAAUCACACGAAACUAGGUGCUGCAUGGCUGUCGUCAGCUCGUGCCGUGAGGUGUUGGGUUAAGUCCCGCAACGAGCGCAACCCCUAUGUUUAGUUGCCAGCACGUUAAGGUGGGGACUCUAAACAGACUGCCUGUGCAAACAGAGAGGAAGGAGGGGACGACGUCAAGUCAUCAUGGCCCUUACGUCCGGGGCUACACACGUGCUACAAUGGAUGGUACAGAGGGCAGCAAGCUGGUAACAGCAAGCGAAUCUCAAAAAGCCAUUCACAGUUCGGAUAGAGGUCUGCAACUCGACCUCUUGAAGUUGGAUUCGCUAGUAAUCGCGUAUCAGCAAUGACGCGGUGAAUACGUUCCCGGGCCUUGUACACACCGCCCGUCAAGCCAUGGAAGUUGGGGGUACCUAAAGUAUGUAACCGCAAGGAGCGUCCUAGGGUAAAACCGAUAACUGGGGCUAAGUCGUAACAAGGUAGCCGUACCGGAAGGUGCGGCUGGAAUACCUCCUUUCU